UGGUAUGAUUGGGAUGCUUCCUGAGU
rnacentral:piRNA from 1 species